rnacentral:misc_RNA from 1 species
AAAAAUACAAGUCAAGUGACGGACUCCCUCCUGUGCAGUACAAGCACACACACACACACGCUGAUAUGCCCAAUCCACUUGUGCGGCUCGGCAAGGAGCUGAAGGAGGCGACGGAGCACCCAGACCCGGACAUCCACCUGGAGCUGUAUGACCCCACCAAGGGCAGCAACUCCAGCCGCAGUAGCCAGGGCGCUGCGUCGCAGCCCUCUCAGCAGCAGCCCGGGCUUUACACAUGGCUGGCCAUUCUCAAGGGCCCACCCGAUACACCGUUCGCGGGCGGCAGCUAUCGACUGGUGUUGAGCAUCCCGCACGAGUAUCCCCUCGUCCCCCCGAAGGCUGCCUUUAUUACAAAGGUGUUCCACCCCAACGUCGAGUUCAACACGGGCAACGUCUGCCUUGAUAUUCUCAAGAAGCGGUGGUCGCCGGUGUGGACGCUAAGCUCCGUGUGCCGCGCGAUUCUAAAUCUACUGGCGGAGCCAGAGUCGGAUAGUCCGUUCAACUGCGAUGCCGGAAACCUUCUGCGCGCUGGCGACAUGGAGGGUUACGCGAGCCUGGUGCGGUACUACGCCAUCACCGACGCGGGAGCGCCGCCAUUCGCGGAUAACGAGGAGUGACCGCUUGAGAAGAACCAAAACGAUGGCGGGAGGCGACUGCGGUUCAGUGAAGCAUAGCGCGAGGAGUUGAGCAGAGAGACUGAACAACCGGCGCUCCUGUUGUGCUUGCCUAAGCUUUUUUUUUGCUGCUGUUGUUGCUGUGGCUGCUUUAUCUCCCCGUCACCUCUCGCCCCCUCUCACAGGGCGGGCUCUCACGGUUAUGGUGUCUGAUGCGACGCAUGUGUGCUUUUAGGAUUUCACGCCCUUUUCAUUUCGACAUAUGCCCCUUCCUUUUUCGCGGCUAUAGGAGGUGUCUCUGGUGUGGAGGGGGGGCGGUGUAAUGGUGGUGUGCUGUGUGGUUUGUGGGGUGUCGGAGGCGUCCAAGACGGGUCUUGUCCCUCUGCUGCUGUAGUGAGGUGCGCGUCCUUGUGCGGCCCCCUUGCCGUUGGCCCACGUACCUUCACACACACACACACACACACUCACGUGCGCGGCGCCGCCUUCGCUGUCGCAUCGUUUUUUUUUUCUUGUUUUGCUCUGCCACUGCACGGAAGCUCAUGCACAGCCGCAGCCAUCGCGCACACAU